rnacentral:rRNA from 1 species
GAUGAACGCUGGCGGCGUGCUUAACACAUGCAAGUCGAACGGAAAGGCCCAAGCUUGCUUGGGUACUCGAGUGGCGAACGGGUGAGUAACACGUGGGUGAUCUGCCCUGCACUUCGGGAUAAGCCUGGGAAACUGGGUCUAAUACCGGAUAGGACCACUUCUUGGAUGUUGUGGGGGAAAGUUUUUUGGGUGUGGGGUGAGCUCGCGGCCUAUCAGCUUGUGGGUGGGGUAGUGGCCUACAAAGGCGUCGGCGGGUAGCCGGCCUGAGAGGGUGUACGGCCAUAUGGGGUGAGAGAUGGGGCCGACACUCACGGGGGGGGGAGGUGGGGAGUAUAGCGCAAAGGGGGCGGGCCUGAGACGGAGCCGCGGCGUGGGGGGGGAGGGGGUUUGGGUUUUGAACUCCGUUUGCGAGGGAGAAGGCGUGUGGGUGCGGUAACUGGGGAAGGAGGCACGGCUAACUUCCGU